rnacentral:misc_RNA from 1 species
CUGUACGCCGAAAUUCCGCGACCACUAGGUUUUGCGCGUUGCCUCGUCCCGACAGGAUAUCGAUGCGACGCUAUAUGAUGGCUUGAACGAAUGGACCGGACGUUGGCACCUCAACGAAACCGCUUGCCAUUCCACUGCAUCUGAUAGCGGCAAAUUGAACCGCCUCGGCUACAAUCCACGGCUAUUGACGGCACACCUGAGUCGAUCGGCAUAUCGAUUUCGAAUACAUCUCCUCGCCAAACCUCGCGAUGCACGCCUCCUCUGGAGACGAAGACGCGAUGAAGACAACCCUUCGGCGAACAAAGAGCUUCUCGAUUGGAACACCCGAACUGUUCGAAGUGGAUUGC